rnacentral:rRNA from 1 species
UACGUAGGGGGCAAGCGUUGUCCGGAAUCAUUGGGCGUAAAGCGCGUGUAGGCGGCUUGGUAAGUCCGUUCUGAAAGCCCGGGGCUCAACCCCGGGAGGCGGAUGGAUACUGCUGAGCUCGAGUCCGGAAGAGGCGAGUGGAAUUCCUGGUGUAGCGGUGAAAUGCGCAGAUAUCAGGAGGAACACCAAUGGCGAAGGCAGCUCGCUGGGGCGGUACUGACGCUGAGACGCGAAAGCGUGGGGAGCAAACAGG